rnacentral:tRNA from 3 species
GGCUGAAUGGUGUAGCGGUAUCACGCAUCGUUCACACCGAUGAGGUCCUGGGUUCGACCCCCAGUUUAGUCA